GACGAACGCUGGCGGCGUGCUUAACACAUGCAAGUCGAACGGAAAGGCCCUGCUUUUGUGGGGUUCUCGAGUGGCGAACGGGUGAGUAACACGUGAGUAACCUGCCCUUGACUUUGGGAUAACUUCAGGAAACUGGGGCUAAUACCGGAUAGGAUCUCCUGCUGCGUUGUGGGGGUUGGAAAGUUUCGGCGGGUGGGGAUGGAUUGGCGGCUUAUCAGCUUGUUGGUGGGGUAGUGGGUUACCAAGGUUUUGACGGGUAGCCGGCCUGAGGGGGUGACCGGCCGCCUUGGGGCCGAGGUGCGGCCCCAGCGGCUAAGGGAGGCCAGAGUGGGGAAUCCUGCACCAGGGGCGGAAGGCUGAUGCAGCAACGCCGCGGGCGGGAAGGCCGCCUUGGGGGUGGAAAACGGCUUCGGCUUUGAAGAAGGCUGUGCGGAGGUUAUGGGGAAAGAAGGCACGGGUAAACUUGUUC
rnacentral:rRNA from 1 species